CUUUUUCCAAGCCUUAAUUCAAACAUCCUGAGUUGGGUUAUACAAACAAUAACAGGUUUAAUCUGGUGUAUUAGUAAAGUGCCAUAUCCCGGACUUGGGUUAAACAUUUUGUGCACAGCUCUGUUUUCUUAAAGGAAUUCAUUUAAGAACUUUCUGUUCUUUGGCCUAAGGAAGGAAUAUCAACCAUUCAGCAACAGAUUCCAAGAUUAAGUGCAUGAGCAAGAGUUUGAUCAAGUCUCCAUGGUGACGUGCUACAAAGAAGACACUGUUGGAUAAGAUCAAAUGGGAAUAGAAUUGCAAAGCAGGCACAGUUCCAGAAGCUUCCUUGUCUUUUGGAUGAUAAGAGAGAGAUGAUUUGAAAAAUCAAAUAGCCAAGUCUUUGAAGUUUUAGGAUUUCAGUUGGCUCACGCGCCAUGCUUUCUCGUGGCUAUGAGGAGUUCAAGCUGUUUGAGGUAGGAAGGGAGAGAAGAUUGAAGAAGGAAGCGUUUGGGAAAGAGGAGGUCCAAGCAGAUGCUGAGAGUUUCCCAUCUGUCUACCUCUCCCCGCUCUCCUAGUCUGUCAUCCGUCCUCCCAUUGUCACUUCAUUUGCCCCGGAGUC
rnacentral:lncRNA from 1 species